AAAUAUUUAUUCUUGUUUGAGUUAUUCUUGAGUUGUCGAUGAUUUGAUAUUGCUUCGAGACACACAUUUCAUAUGUCGUGCUAGGAUGAGACCAUUACCUCAAAAACCCAUCCUAUAGAAGUCAGAUUCCAAGGUGACAGUUCUUUAUACAAUCACGUGUUGAAAUCUACAUAGAGGUCUCGGUCGAUGGCUGUUAUGUGAGCAUGGAUCGGAGUAUAACUGGGGGGACAUUUGACGAUCAUUAUGUGGUC
rnacentral:lncRNA from 1 species